GACGAACGCUGGCGGCGUGCCUAAUACAUGCAAGUCGAGCGGAUCUUCAUUAGCUUGCCUUUGAAGAUCAGCGGCGGACGGGUGAGUAACACGUGGGCAACCUGCCUGUAAGACUGGGAUAACUUCGGGAAACCGGAGCUAAUACCGGAUAAUCCUUUUCCUCUCAUGAGGAAAAGCUGAAAGACGGUCUCGGCUGUCACUUACAGAUGGGCCCGUGGCGCAUUAGCUAGUUGGUGAGGUAACGGCUCACCAAGGCGACGAUGCGUGGCCGACCUGAGAGGGUGAUCGGACACACUGGGACUGAGACACGGCACAGACUUCUACGGGAGGCAGCAGUAGGGAAUCUUCCGCAAUGGACGAAAGUCAGACGGAGCAACGCCGCGUGAGCGAUGAAGGCCUUCGGGUCGUAAAGCUCUGUUGUCAGGGAAGAACAAGUACCGGAGUAACUGCCGGUACCUUGACGGUACCUGACCGGAAAGCCACGGCUAACUACGUGCCAGCAGCCGCGGUAA
rnacentral:rRNA from 1 species